rnacentral:rRNA from 1 species
AGUGAACGCUGGCGGUAGGCCUAACACAUGCAAGUCGAACGGCAGCACAGUAAGAGCUUGCUCUUACGGGUGGCGAGUGGCGGACGGGUGAGGAAUACAUCGGAAUCUACUUUUUCGUGGGGGAUAACGUAGGGAAACUUACGCUAAUACCGCAUACGACCUACGUGUAAAAGCAGGGGAUCUUCGGACCUUGCGCGAUUGAAUGAGCCGAUGUCGGAUUAGCUAGUUGGCGGGGUAAAGGCCCACCAAGGCGACGAUCCGUAGCUGGUCUGAGAGGAUGAUCAGCCACACUGGAACUGAGACACGGUCCAGACUCCUACGGGAGGCAGCAGUGGGGAAUAUUGGACAAUGGGCGCAAGCCUGAUCCAGCCAUACCGCGUGGGUGAAGAAGGCCUUCGGGUUGUAAAGCCCUUUUGUUGGGAAAGAAAAGCAGCAGGUUAAUACCCCGCUGUUCUGACGGUACCCAAAGAAUAAGCACCGGCUAACUUCGUG